rnacentral:rRNA from 1 species
GUGAGGAAUAUUGGUCAAUGGACGCAAGUCUGAACCAGCCAUGCCGCGUGCAGGAAGACGGCUCUAUGAGUUGUAAACUGCUUUUGUACGAGGGUAAACUCACCUACGUGUAGGUGACUGAAAGUAUCGUACGAAUAAGGAUCGGCUAACUCCGUGCCAGCAGCCGCGGUAAUACGGAGGAUUCAAGCGUUAUCCGGAUUUAUUGGGUUUAAAGGGUGCGUAGGCGGUUUGAUAAGUUAGAGGUGAAAUCCCGGGGCUUAACUCCGGAACUGCCUCUAAUACUGUUAGACUAGAGAGUAGUUGCGGUAGGCGGAAUGUAUGGUGUAGCGGUGAAAUGCUUAGAGAUCAUACAGAACACCGAUUGCGAAGGCAGCUUACCAAACUAUAUCUGACGUUGAGGCACGAAAGCGUGGGGAGCAAACAGGA